rnacentral:rRNA from 1 species
UACGGAGGGGGUUAGCGUUGUUCGGAAUUACUGGGCGUAAAGCGUACGUAGGCGGAUUAGUCAGUCAGAGGUGAAAUCCCAGGGCUCAACCCUGGAACUGCCUUUGAUACUGCUAGUCUUGAGUUCGAGAGAGGUGAGUGGAAUUCCAAGUGUAGAGGUGAAAUUCGUAGAUAUUUGGAGGAACACCAGUGGCGAAGGCGGCUCACUGGCUCGAUACUGACGCUGAGGUACGAAAGUGU